UCUUCCACAAUGUCCGUUGCCACUCUUCAUCGUAGAAUUGAAGCUCCUCCUUGACGUCCAUUGCCGCUCGGCGGAGAACAUGCUCGCCGAGAUGAACACGGUAUGCAAGUUCAACAAGUACGGAUUUGAAAAAACAUAUUGAAUUUGACAAGGUAAACCGUCUAGACAAGGGUAGCAUCAUUCUUAAACCGCUGCAAGGAUACAUACUAUAUAUGACACGUAUGACAUACUAAUUUUUUCCUCAUAAUUAAUAUUGAAAUCCUCUCCAUUCUACCUCACAUUUACUCUCCAUGAUCUCC
rnacentral:lncRNA from 1 species